rnacentral:lncRNA from 1 species
CUGCGAGUCAAGCCACGCCUGGUGGCAAGAAUGCUUGGCCUUCAGUGUCAGCCAGGACGGUAAACACAUCUCCCUAAUGUUUCCCAGACCAGUUCGGGCCAUUUUGGGUGCUCGAGUACAACACCUCACACAAAUGACCGCGUCUUGAGGAAAAACCCGAGAGAUUAGUGGAGAAUUAAGAAGAAAGGAAGAAGGAAAGAGGACCACAUUGCAGAGUUUUUUGCAGGGAAGGGACAGUCGUUGAAAAAAAAAAAAAGCGCUGCUACAGUAUGUGAAAACAUUGGAUGGGAAAGGGAUGAAGGGGGAAUUCUAAGAAGUCUCAUGGGAAACUAAAUGUUUCUAUAGUGUUCAAAAUGUACAAAUAAAGUAUGCGGAAUAUUUUUAAAU